rnacentral:rRNA from 1 species
AUGCACGCUGGCGGCGUGCUUCACACAUGCAAGUCGCACGAAGCACUUUAUUUGAUUUCCUUCGGGACUGAUUAUUUUGUGACUGAGUGGCGGACGGGUGAGUAACGCGUGGGUAACCUGCCUUGUACAGGGGGAUAACAGUUGGAAACGGCUGCUAAUACCGCAUAAGCGCACGGCAUCGCAUGAUGCAGUGUGAAAAACUCCGGUGGUAUAAGAUGGACCCGCGUUGGAUUAGCUAGUUGGUGAGGUAACGGCCCACCAAGGCGACGAUCCAUAGCCGACCUGGGGGGGGGACCGGCCACAUUGGGACUGGGACACGGCCCAAACCCCCAGGGGGGGGAGCAGGGGGGAAUAUUGAAAAAUGGGCGAAAGCCGAAUGCCGCGGCGCCGGGUAAGCGAAGAAGUAUUUCGGUAUGAAAAGCUCUUUAAACAGGGAAGAUAAGGACGGUCCCGAACAAAAAAGCACCGGCAAAAUACGG